rnacentral:piRNA from 1 species
UUUUACCAACACUAAGGUUUAAACCCAGU